rnacentral:misc_RNA from 1 species
GUAGGUGAACCUGCGGAAGGAUCAUUAACACAAAUGUUUCCACAACCUUAACAUUGGCGCAUAGUCAAAUCCCUCUCAUGUCUCUAUUGGCUCCAUCCUAUUCUAUAGUCUGGAGUCGAUGGCGAUGUCUUGGAAUGAGUGUCGAUCGUGCAAUGGUUGAAUUUGGCCGAUCGAUUUAAGGUGAAUGCUUUUGUAAUCACCGGCUCAUUCGGGAGGAGUAGUAAUCAGCCUCGACCAUGGCUGAGCCCUU